AAAAAAAUAAACCUUAGAUUUACUUGUCCAACAUUUGACUGUCUAUCUUAUAUGAAACUUUUUUAUAAUUAGUAUUUUCAUUGUUGUUAGGUAAUAAAACAUAAUUAAUGCUUUAUGUGUGACUUGUCUUUUUAAUUUUUUUCAUAAUUUUUUCAAAUAAGACGGACGGUCAAACGUUGGACACGAAAAUCCAGUGUUUGUCUUUUU
rfam:Oryza barthii chromosome 3, whole genome shotgun sequence.